rnacentral:rRNA from 1 species
AGGACGAACGCUGGCGGCAUGCCUAACACAUGCAAGUCGAACGGGGGUAGCAAUACCCUAGUGGCGAACGGGUGAGUAACACAUAAGCAAUCUGCCCUUCACAGGGGGAUAACAGCGGGAAACUGCUGCUAAUACCGCAUAAGACCACGGUACCGCAUGGUACAGGGGUAAAAACGAAUCAGUGGUGAAGGAUGAGCUUAUGUCCCAUUAGCUAGUUGGUGAGAUAACAGCCCACCAAGGCGACGAUGGGUAGCCGACCUGAGAGGGUGAUCGGCCACACUGGAACUGAGACACGGUCCAGACUCCUACGGGAGGCAGCAGUGGGGAAUAUUGGGCAAUGGAAGGAAACUCUUACCCAGCAAUGCCGCGUGAGUGAAGAAGGUCUUCGGAUUGUAAAGCUCUUUGAUUGGGGACGAAGAAAGUGACGGUACCCAAAGAACAAGCCCCGGCUAACUACGUGCCAGCCGCCGC